CACCCUGGACAAUUUACCUUUCCUUAUAAUGGCACAUAUUUUGAUGGCUGGUAACAUGGAAACAGUUACAGACAUAUAGUUAUUAUUGAACACUGAUAGAAAGUCGUAUAUGGACUUUCAUUUAAUUAAUUGAGUUCUCCUCCAGUGAAAGUACCACCCACUUCUACUGGGAGACUGAUCUCCUGCAUAAAGACCUGAGGACUUUAACAUAGCAGUAGAACCUGACAACCUCACAAAUUUAGGUUGUUAUUGAUUUUUGAAAGAA